UACGUAGGCAGCAAGCGUUGUUCGGAAUUACUGGGCGUAAAGGGCGCGUAGGCGGCCUACUAAGUCGGACGUGAAAUCCCCCGGCUUAACCUGGGAACUGCGUGUGAUACUGGAUGGCUUGAGUUUGGGAGAGGGAUGCGGAAUUCCAGGUGUAGCGGUGAAAUGCGUAGAUAUCAGGAGGAACACCGGUGGCGAAGGCGGUGGUCUGGGCCGGAACUGACGCUGAGGAGCGAAAGCGUGGGGAGCGAACAGG
rnacentral:rRNA from 1 species